GUGCUCACUUCAGCAGCACACAGACUAAAACUGAAACAACAUGGAGAAGAUAAGUAUGGCCCUGCAGCAAGGAUGAUAUGAAAUUUGUGAAGGAUUCUAUAUUUUU